rnacentral:rRNA from 1 species
GACAGAGGGGGCAAGCGUUGUCCGGAUUUACUGGGCGUACAGCGCGCGCAGGCGGCUGGGGACGUGCCGGGUGACAGCCCGCGGCUCAACCGCGGAGGGACCUGGUAGACGCUCCGGCUGGAGGCAGGGAGAGGGCAGUGGAAUACCCGGUGGAGCGGUGAAAUGCGUAGAGAUCGGGUGGAACACCAGGGGCGAAGGCGGCUGCCUGGCCCUGGCCUGACGCUGAGGCGCGAGAGCGUGGGGAGCAAACCGGAUUAGAAACCCCAGUAGUCC